GCCCGAUUAGCUUGUUGGCGAGGUAACGGCUCACCAAGGCAAUGAUCGGUAGCUGGUCUGAGAGGAUGAUCAGCCACACUGGAACUGAGACACGGUCCAGACUCCUACGGGAGGCAGCAGUGGGGAAUCUUGCACAAUGGGCGAAAGCCUGAUGCAGCGACGCCGCGUGGGGGAUGAAGCUUCUCGGAGUGUAAACCCCUUUCGCCUGGGACGAAUGCCCGCAAGGGAGUGACGGUACCAGGAUAAGAAGCCCCGGCUAACUACGUGCCAGCAGCCGCGGUAAGACGUAGGGGGCCAGCGUUGUUCGGAAUUACUGGGUGUAAAGGGUUCGUAGGCGGUGUGGCAAGUUGGGAGUGAAAUCUCUGGGCUCAACCCAGAGGCUGCUUCCAAAACUGCUGUGCUUGAGUGUGAGAGAGGCUCGUGGAAUUGCAGGUGUAGCGGUGAAAUGCGUAGAUAUCUGCAGGAACACCCGUGGCGAAAGCGGCGAGCUGGAUCACUACUGACGCUGAGGAACGAAAGCUAGGGGAGCA
rnacentral:rRNA from 1 species